rnacentral:tRNA from 1 species
CAGGGUAUAGCUCAGUGGUAGGGAGCGUGCUUAGUGUGCAUGAGGUCCUGGGUUCAAUCCCCAGUACCUCAA